AAUCAACAUUCACGAAUUUUUUCGCGGAUUUGAGUUUUCCAGCGUUUAUAAUAAAUGCUGGUAACUUUAAAAUUAUUUAUUACUUGGUACAAGUUGAAAACGUACUAUAUGUGUAGUUCGCUGACAACUUGUCCAUCUUUAUAUAUUAUGCGCGCACUUGGUUAUUACGCUCUGUGCGAGUAUAUAUUUUUU
rnacentral:misc_RNA from 1 species